UGUUAGUCCAUCUACUGGGGUNUACUUGC
rnacentral:piRNA from 1 species